AUUGUAAAGGGACGCACGGGGCAGCGCAUCAGGCUCUACGUCCGGAGCACCAUCCUCGGCUUCAAGAGGUCGAAGUCGAACCAGUACGAGAGCACGUCGCUGGUGCAGGUCGAGGGGGUGAACACCAAGGAGGACGUGGCGUGGUACGGUGUCGCCGUGACGGAAGAAGCCUCCUCUGCUCUGCUCUGCUCGCCGAGGGACGACACCCACUACCGCUGCCUCUGGGGCAAGAUCACCUGCCCGCACGGCAACUCCGGCGUCGUCCACGCCCAGUUCAAGUCCAAUCUCCCCGUCGAGUCCAUGGUCAGGGCGCAAGGUCAGAGUGUUCAUGUACCCGAGCAGCAUCUA
rnacentral:rRNA from 1 species